UCCCUCCUGUGCCAGCCAUCUCUGUCUCCAGGUGUGAGGAGAGAAAGGUUUGAGUCUCGGGGAAAGUCUGCAUCAGGCUUCUCACUUACAUCUGGGGGGCGCUGAGGUUCCAAGAGGUCAAGCUGUUUGCCUGGGGUUGCCCAGCUUCUUGGUAAGGGGGGUUGGGCGGGAGCCUUGCCCUUUCCCUGUGGCCUGGCUCUUCGUAGAGCCAAGCAGGGAGCUGCCCUGAGAGGCCUCGAGGAAGUGGGAAGUACUGUGCUUCCGUCUCCGGUAUGUGAAGCAAGAUGGGUGUUUUGAAAUACCUCUUGGGCCACAGAAAAUGGUAUUUCCCUGUGGUCACAAAGAAUAGCUGUGCAACCGUGGCCUGGCCCGUGGUCUCCCUUACAACUGGGUGAGAGCACAUAGUGUCUGGACUCUGUGGUGUGGGACGGAGCCACUUCCUAGUUUCACUAUACAUAAAGAUAAUACAGGAUAGUAUUGUGAUAAGAGGAUGGAAACCAAGCUCUGCUCCGUGCUAGCUGUGCGACGUCGGGCAAUCUCCCAGAUGGACACACGGCCCUUCAGCUAUAUGACCGUUCCCUCGCUCCUCUGUCAUUGGAUGUAGCCACGGGACUAAGUCUUCAGUGGAUCCAUUCUCACUGGUGUAAAAGGAUAUCUCAUUGUGCAAACUCCUAUGUUCUUAUAAGGACCCCAGUCCUGCCGGAUUAUAGGCCCACUAUUCUCCAGACUGACCUCAUCUUCACCGGUUACACCUGCAACAACCCUAUUUCCAGGGAUUGGUUCAGAGUGCAAGCACCUGUCCUUUUGGGGGGACCGGGUCCUCUGUGGAAGUGAAGGAGGAAGCACGAAGCCUCCAUUGCCCCGGCUGGCAGCCGCUUUACCAUCAUGAGGGAAGCACACCUGAGGAUAAAGAGUCAGCAGAGGAUUUGUAUUAUGGAAGCUAAGAAAAUGGACUGUAGCUGUGAAGGAAAGAGGUGACGCUCUUCACCUCAGCAGACUUCAGGGCAUGUUGCAUGUUGAAACAUCAUGACUUACCACGCUGAGAAGAUGCACAGGGAUCACAUGUUUGAUACGAAACUCAGCUCCUUCAGGCUGAUAAGUGCAAACCAGAGAACACACUGUAGUGGAAACAGGAUUAAUCCAGGGUCCCCAUCCCUCUGACCCCAGUGGAGCUGCUGCUAGUGGAGCCACCUUGACUCAUUUACAUAGAGCUUGAGGAUUCCCUCUGGGAAUACAGACAGGGUACAGUUCAGCGGCGUUAAAUUCAUUUACAUCACCACCUCCUUCUCCAGAGUGGAUGGUGUUUCGAAUGGCCUGGCCCCUUGAAACAGUCAUGCGGCUGAAUUAGGGAAAACUGUAUUUGUCAGCUCAGAGUGCCACGACGUAACACCACAGCGCGGGCGGAUUAAACAGCAGAAGCCCAUUUCUCACACUUCUGGAGCCUGAGAAGUACAAGAUCAAGGUCAGCUGGAGGGAUCUCUCUGACUUCAGCAUGGUGCAGUCACUCUUAAGAAUUUUUCACUAAGGAGCACCUGGGUGGCCCAGUCAGGCAAAGAAGUCAGUGGAAACACUGGUCUGUGGAGUCAUUCAGAGAUUCAGGACGACAAUGAUCCUUCUCAUUUCAGACACAGUUUUCAAAGUCUUUGUGAAACUUGUCAUCCUUCAGCCAGGAAGAAAGGGAAAAAAGAUGAAGGAGCAUGUGCAGGGGGGUUUGUAUGAGUGAAAUCUGAAAGUGGGCACAUCACUUGCACCCUCAGUGCAUUACUUAGAAUUCAUGCCUAAUUUCACAGAAGGCUUGGAAAUGUAUCCAAGCUGUGGGCCAAGAAAAAAAAAUGAACAUUGAUUGUUAGCAGCUCCUGCCAUUACAGUUGUGUUCCAAAGGGCACCAUUUUUACCUAGACUGUGUUAUAAAUGUUGCCUCUGGAGUUGUGUUACAUGGUGGCUCUGUUCUCUAUUUCUGGCACAUACAACAGUGAGCAGUGAUAGCAGGUCAUAGCAGGUGAUUAUUGUGAUGUGGAUCAGAAAGUCUCAAAUUGACAUGGUUUGCAUCUGCUUUCUUUGGACGCAGGAUUUCAGGGGAAGCCACAUUGUAUACAGUGGUUUCUUUGGGUGUGGGCAGUUACUUGAGAUGUUAAUGAAAGCAAGAUAAAAUGGUCAUAAUGUUUCCAUCCUUGCAAGAGGUAAAUUCUUGUCCCCAAAUCUGGGUAGGUUGAGUCCCUGAGUCAGGACACCCUUUUAAGCAUAAAAGAUUGGGGUAAGGACUGUCAGAUGUUCCUACCAGUACCUUUAUUUUGUGCUCAGUUUAGCGCUCAGUCAGGUUGUGAGAACUGUGCUUUGGGAGACCAGGCAAAACUCUUGACUCUGCAAAGUAUGUGUUUUGAUCCAGUGUGUGUUAAUUAAUUUUUAAAUUUUAAUGGCAAAAAUAAGUUUAUUUGGGAAUAACAGAAUUGCAAUUUGGGAACUGAAUGUAGGCAAGUCGCUCAGGGUGCAAUAAUUUAUAUAGUUGGAUUCUUAGUUUGAUCCAUCAAGAGGGUCUUACCCAACCCAAGUGAGACCCAUAGUUAGUGAUGAUGUCACACUUUAUCAUUCAUAAAUGCAAGUGCUCGUAAAAUAUGCCAUUUGAUCCUCACAACAGUACUGGAAGAUAAGAUAGGGCCCCUAUCUCAGAGAAAUGUGACUUGCCUCAGUUCACACAGGAAACGGACACCACUGAGAUCAUCUCUCACCUGUAUCUUCCACCAUCUGCCCUGGCUCCUUAACCACGACAUAAAGUCAGGCUCUAGUCACCCCUUGUCUUAUUGAAACAACAACAACAGACUCACCCCUUCCUCCUGCUCUCUCCUUCAACUUCUAACCAGCUCAAGAUUUCUUGCCUUCUCUCGGUGUCUGAACUUCUCUAAUAGGAUUUCCCUGCUUUAUAAAAAUGAAAGAGAAUAUGUAUUCAAUAUAUAUGAUAAAAUAAAUGUGCAUACACAUGUGUAUAUAAAUUUAAGAAAAAUAAUA